GCCCGGGUGAGUAACGCGUAUGCACCCUCCCUAUACCAGAGGGAUGGCCCAUAGAAAUGUGGAUUAAUCCCUCAUAGUUCUGAGAAGUCGCAUGGUUUUUCAGAUAAAACUCCGGUGGUUAUAGAUGGGCAUGCGUGACAUUAGCUAGUUGGUAAGGUAACGGCUUUCCAAGGCACCGAUGUCUAGGGGUUCUGAGCAGGAUGUCCCCCCCUGGUACUGGGCCCGGCCCAGACUCCUACGGGAGGCAGCAGUGAGGAAUAUUGGUCAAUGGGCGCAAGCCUGAUCCAGCCAUGCCGCGUGCAGGAUGAAGGCCUUCGGGUUGUAAACUGCUUUUGUGCGGAACGAAAAGACUCUGGUUAAUACCUGGGGUCUAUGACGGU
rnacentral:rRNA from 1 species